CGGCGGACGGGUGAGUAACGCGUGGAUAACCUGCCUCACACAGGGGGAUAACAGUUAGAAAUGACUGCUAAUACCGCAUAAGACCACGGUACCGCAUGGUACAGUGGUAAAAACUCCGGUGGUAUGAGAUGGACCCGCGUCUGAUUAGGUAGUUGGUGGGGUAACGGCCUACCAAGCCGACGAUCAGUAGCCGACCUGAGAGGGUGACCGGCCACAUUGGGACUGAGACACGGCCCAG
rnacentral:rRNA from 1 species